rnacentral:lncRNA from 1 species
GGGAAAUAUGUGUGCUUGGGAAAAAACAUAAUUUGAACAGUGUGGGUUAUUUCCCAAAAGAGAAAGUCCCAAAGAAACUGCUUGUCAAGAGUAUAAAGUAUGUGUGCCCACUUCUCAACAUGUGGCACCGACUUAUACUAGUACAGGUUCUCACUUCUCUCUUACACAGACACUUUGAGUGUAUAAUCGCCAUCACUCUGCACACUGCCCUAUCCCACCUGGACAAGAGGAAUACCUUUGUAAGAAUGCUGUUUAUUGACUAUAGCUCAGCAUUCAACACCAUAGUACCCUCCAAGCUCAUCAUUAAGCUCGAGGACCUGGGUCUGAACCCCGCCCUGUGCAACUGGGUCCUGGACCACUUGACGCGCCCCCAGGUGGUGAAGGUAGGAAACAUCACCUCCACUCCGCUGAUCCUCAACACUGGGGCCCCACAAGGGUGCGUUCUCAGCCCCCUCCUGUACUCCCUGUUCACCCAUGACUGUGUGGUCAAGCACGCCUCCAACUCAAUCAUCAAGUUUGAAGACGACACAACAGUAGAAGGCUUGAUUACCAAUGAUGACAAGACAGCCUACAGGGAGGAGGUGAGGGCUCUGGGAGUGUGGUGCCUGGAAAACAACCUCUCACUCAAUGUCAACAAAACAAAGGAGAUGAUCGUGGACUUCAGGAAACAGCAGAGGGUGUACCCCCAUCGACGGGACCACAGUGGAGAAGGUGGAAAGCUUCAAGUUCCUUGGCGUACACGUCACUGACAAACUGAAAUGGACCACCCACACAGAAAGUGUGGUGAAGAAGGCGCAAAAGAGCCUCUUCAACCUCAGGAGGCUAAAGAAAUGUGGCUUGUCACCUAAAACCCUCACAAACUUUUACAGAUGCCCAAUUGAAAGCAUCCUGUCAGGCUGUAUCACCACCUGGUACGGCAAAGGCUCUCCAGAGGGUGGUGCGGUCUGCCCAACGCAUUACCGGGGGCAAACUACCUGCCCUCCAGGACACCUACAGCACCCAAUGUCACAGGAAGGCCAAAAAGAUAAUCAAGGACCUCAACCACCCGAGCCACUGCCUGUUCACCCCGCUAUCAUCCAGAAGGCAAGGGCAGUAAAGGUGCAACAAAGCAGGGACCGAGAGACUGAAAAACAGCUUCUAUCUCAAGGCCAUCAGACUAUUAAACAGUCAUCACUAGCACAUUAGAGGCUGCUGCCUAUAGGCAUAGACUAGAAAUCACUGGCCACUUUAAGGAAUGGAACACUAGUCACUUUAAUAAUGUUUACAUAUCUGGCAUUACUCAUCUCAUAUGUAUAUACUGUAUUCUAUACUACUGUAUCUUAAUCCAUUCCGCUCAUCCAUAUGUAUAUAGUCUUAAUUCAUUCCUACUUAGAUUUGUGUAUGUUGUAUAACUUGUUACAUAUUACUGCACUGUCGGAGCUAAACCACAAGCAUUUCGCUUUGAUUUAUAGAUGACUGAUGGACAAUCCCAGAGAUACUGUACAUAAUGAUGAGAUGUAUUCCCAUGUGGACAGAUUUUGAUGGGAGUGGACCCUCUCACGUUGCCUCUUCCUCUCUGACAAUCCCUGUAGGGGCACUUUCACAUGGGGUUAUAGGCCACGUGUUACACAAACCGGUGACCAGGAAGUGUUAACACAGACCGAAAUGGGAACAUCACCCACAACAAAACCAUUUCUAUGCGGACACAUCAAGAACUCCUCUCAACCUGUGCAAGAUGGGAAUC